CGUAUACGAACCUUCUUCCUCAGUUGCCCCCAAUCAGUUCGGUCUCUACUUCGAGUGGCUCCUCGCGCCUUUUUGAGUUCCGUCGUGCAUUGCUCGGUUCUCUUAAAAGCCUACUCGGUGCUCUGCCAAUGAGGGUUCCCGGUCUCAGAGCCUAAGUACUGAAAUUGCCCCCACAUCAAGUUUAAGGCUUUGACAAGAGGUGAUUCUCAAAGCACUCCGGGAUCCGCAGACUUUUCUAGAUCAAAGUCUUGUGGCAGUUAGCCAGAACUUGGAUGCUUUGAAGGAUCCUCUCCAGAUCGUAAGGAAUCUAUCUGAAGAAAGUGGAAUUUCCACUGAGGGGAAGGUGGGGUGGAUUCAUCCUCCAAGCUUGAAGAGGAAAUUAAUAUGACAGUGGGGCAAGUACUCAGUGCUACUAAGAGUCAGAAUGAAAUUGACUCCAAAAUCCAGACCUUCAUUCAGCAAUCGACCAAAGCCCGUGAGUCCGUGGCAGUGUGCGAGAAAAUAGAGAACGAUUUAGACUCAAUGGAGGCCGAGGCUGAAAAUAAAUCUAAAGGAAAGGAUCAGAUUCCGAGGCUCCAGGAGCUGUUGGCCGCCGUAGAGAAGAGGCGGAGUGAUCUUACUCGGG